UACGUAGGGUGCAAGCGUUGUCCGGAAUUAUUGGGCGUAAAGAGCUCGUAGGCGGUCUGUCACGUCGGCUGUGAAAACCCGAGGCUCAACCUCGGGCCUGCAGUCGAUACGGGCAGACUAGAGUGCGGUAGGGGAGAAUGGAACUCCUGGUGUAGCGGUGGAAUGCGCAGAUAUCAGGAAGAACACCGAUGGCGAAGGCAGUUCUCUGGGCCGUAACUGACGCUGAGGAGCGAAAGCGUGGGGAGCGAACAGG
rnacentral:rRNA from 1 species